UGCCCUGCGGCGCACCGGAAGUGGCCCCUCCCCUCUCUGGGAAAUUCAAACUGUUUAUUUCCAGGAGUUUCACGGCGCGUCCCCCGAAGCCCACGCAGGGCAGAUUCCCCAUGAAUCCCCUGGAUUCAUUUAUUCGCUGGAACGUCGACUCAACAUCUGCUACACGCAGAAGGCUGUCCCUUGAAUAAAAGCAGCUGUGUUUAUGGCUGAUGGCUCUCUGUGGCUUUCUCCUGGGCCAAAUGCUGCUAAGGAACAGAGACAACCUCCUUGUGGAUUACAGCCUUCUGGUUCCCUUCUUGUUUUCUGGAACAGGGACUAGGAUGGGAUUGCACCAUCAGAUCCACAGUGUCAUCUUGUUCCUGUUCCUGUUCCUCCUCUACGCACACGCCAACUUUCCUGUGGCAAUGCCCCACCUGUACCAGACUACCCACUGGAGGACUGAAUGAGACUCUUGAGUCACCAUUGAUCAUAUAUGACUUAAACAAGUCAUUCUGUGUUGCCAUCAAUGGCUCUAAUUUUCUACACAUUCAAAUAUCACUUAUG